ensembl:lncRNA
GUGACAGUCGAGAUCGAGAACAAGAAAGAAGUGAGACAGAGAAGCACGAUGGAUGAAUUCAGAUGGAUUCAAAUGUUUUUAUGUCUGAUGAUUCAGAUUGCAGUCUUCUCAACAGUAUCUGUAAAUGAAACAUCCAUGUUUAUGAAAGUUGGAGGUGACGUCACUCUGCCUUGUCUAAAUGUGAUAGAUGAGCAGAAUAACUGUGAUGGUACUAUGUGGGUCUUUGCUUCAAGAAACAGAGAAACAGUAGAGCUGAUCAGACUUGGACAGAUUGUUGAAAAAGCCAAAACUAAAUCAGACAGACUGAGUGUUACAGCGAACUGUUCUCUGCUUAUAAAGAAGCUCACAGUUGAGGAUGUUGGUCUUUAUUACUGUCAACAAUACAAAGUCGAGGAAACACCAUCUAAACACACUCUGGUUCAUCAGUCUUUGGUUGAUCUCUCUGUUAUUACCUUGACUGAACAUAAGGACACUGAGAAGGUGACGUUAAGCUGCUCUGUGGUGACAUAUGCAGAGUGUCAUCACACAGUGAAGUGGCUGCUUAAAGGUCAAGCAGUGGACAAAGAGUACAAACAAAUAGUGACUUCACAGACUGACUGCUCCACCACUGUAUCUAUUCUGAAGUAUAAUUAUUUAUACUCAUCACGUCAUAAAAUACUGAAGUGUGAAGUGACUGAUACUAAAACAGGAAAAGUGCAGCUGUUUACCUUCAGCCAUCAGACCUCAGGUGAGGAAACAGGUGACACAAAAACAACAAAGAAACCAGCCAGAAAAACUGAAACAACCACAACAAUUAAGACGCUUCUAAAAUCAGAUGAUACAACAGCAACAACUGUGGAAAGUGAAAGCACGACAGCAAACAACAAAUCAUCUGCAGAUUCACAACAUGGUGUCCUGUGGUUCAUCAUUCCAGCUGUGGGUUUGGUCUCACUCUUGAUAAUAGUUGUGGUUUUCAUCAGAUGGAAGAGAACUAGAGGAAAUAAAACACAGAUGGAUGAAGAUGCUGGACUGAGUUUAAACCCUGCAGAGACUCGGUCUGCUCCUCAAACCAGUCAGGACUCGGUGGAUGCUGAAGUUUCCUACGCUACCAUCAGCUACACCAAGACCAACAAUAAAGUUCAGGUUCGGGGUGAUGAUGAAAGUGAUGAAGUGACCUACAGCACUGUGAAGGCUCAUUCCUCUUCUGCUGCAGCCACUGCUGAUCCCAGCAGCCUCUACUCUACUGUCACUUUUCCACUCACAUAGUUAAAGUUGACAAAAAGGACUCGCAUUUAAGUUAAAGACUAAUUUUGUUUUGUGUUUGCAUACAGCAGAUAUGUAGCAACAUGCUAAUUAACAUAAAUGUUUAGAUAGAUACCAUAAUUAUAAAAAAUAUUGGGUUUCAAAUCCAGAAUCAUGUCUUUAUAUCCUCCAUUAAAACUAUGUAACUAAAUGUAAAUAGAAACUUUUUCUUAAUUUUCUUGAUGAAAUCAGACCAGUGUGUUUCCAUAAUGUGAUCCAAGUGUGAAUAUCUAAAUGCAAACAAACCAAAAGCCUUGCAUAGAUAUUAAUGAUGUUGUUAUAUGUUUAUAUUUUAUGAUAUUUCAGAGGAAAAAAAACUUU